rnacentral:rRNA from 1 species
UACAGAGGGUGCAAGCGUUAAUCGGAAUUACUGGGCGUAAAGCGCGCGUAGGUGGUUCGUUAAGUUGGAUGUGAAAUCCCCGGGCUCAACCUGGGAACUGCAUUCAAAACUGUCGAGCUAGAGUAUGGUAGAGGGUGGUGGAAUUUCCUGUGUAGCGGUGAAAUGCGUAGAUAUAGGAAGGAACACCAGUGGCGAAGGCGACCACCUGGACUGAUACUGACACUGAAAGACGAAAGCCAGGGGAGCAAACGGG